GUGACAGACGGUGGGCUGCAGGGGAGCAAUCGCGACAAUGCUGAUGUAACGGAGAACACCCCCUCCCCCGCACUGCCCCCAGGAGCUGUCCCAGGCCUGUGUCACCUCACGGAAUCCUCCCACGGCCUCGUGAGGCACAGACCUUCCCUAACCCCAUUUCACAGAGGAGGAAACUGAGGCCGGGGAGGCUGCCUGUCUUGCCGAAGCCACACGGCCGACACCCCUCAUGAGCCAGUGAUCCUCAAACCCAGGGGCAGCAGGACAGAAGGAACCAACGCAGUGUGGCCACUGCCUGCGUUCGCUGGGGUCAGUCCAAGCCAGAAGAUGUCUGUGGACGGCCGCCUGGCCCGCCCAGGAGAGAGAGGCUCAGGGCAGUGGCCCGGCUGCCCGAGGAGGGAGCCGGCAGCAGCUGGAGGCUGGGGCAACUGGAGAAGACGUUCACAACAAAAGGCCGUUCAGGACCCUCAAAGGGGCGAUUGUUCUAGUCGAGGACUGCUGAGGGGCUGGUUUCUCAGACACUGGUGACCUCAACUUGCACCAAGAAAUAUAAAUUACACGAUG